AGUUCUACAUUUUUAGAAUGGGGCAUGCUUAUUUAAGAUGGUAGGAAAGCACUUUUAAAGAGCAACCAGGCAUCCUCUACUGAUGGGAUGAGGUCAAUAUCCUUCCAGGAUACCCAGACCAGGUUGAUUAGAAAGUCCUACGUUUGACCGCGGACCCAUCACCCACGCAGGCAAUGAGGCAGUGAUCACUGAGAUCCUGGUAAGAAGAACAAAUUCUUAUUUACAAUGACGGCCUACCCCAGACGACGCUGGGCCAGACUCCCAAUUACGGCCAGAUGUGAUGCAGCCUGGAUUUGAACCAGUUGCACUGGGAUGCAGAACUUCGUGUCUCAGACUACUGCGUCACUCGGGAGCCCCAAUAGCACAUUUCAGACACGAAUGCAACAAAAUGCACUUCACAUGAAAAAACGAUGAAAAUAAAAACGGAAAUAUUUACUACAUAAGAGGAUAAUUAAUAAAAGAAUAACAAUUUAAAACUGAAAGACUGAAAAAACACCCUAAGGUAAAUGCACCCCUGUCCAGUGUGUAUUGACAGGUGAUUAGAACGCUUCUUGUGGGCAUUUUUACACCUGUUCAAUGUUCAUUUACAUUUGAUUAGAAGGUGUGUUAUGGUCAUUUUUACACGCGAUCAUUACACCUGUUCAAUGUUCAUUUACAUGUGAUUAGAACGUGUGUUAUGGUCAUUUUUACACCCUAUCAUUACACCUGUUCAAUGUUCAUUUACAUGUGAUUAGAACGUGUGUUAUGGUCAUUUUUACACGCGAUCAUUACACCUGUUCAAUGUUAAUUUACAGGUGAUUAGAACGUGUGUUAUGGCCAUUUUUUACACGCGAUCAUUACACCUGCUCAAUGUUCAUUUACAGGUGAUUAGAACGUGUGUUAUGGUCAUUUUUACACGCGAUCAUUACACCUGUUCAAUGUUCAUUUACAGGUGAUUAGAACGCUUGAAUAUUGUACUUUCAGACGCAUGAAAUUGUACCAUUGCACACGUUCUGAACGCCUGUGUCGUAACGGGUACAUUUCAUGGGUCUGAAAGUACCACAUUGUAGCCCCUUCCACCUCAAUUUCCGUGAGUUUGACUUUGUUUGACUUCCGGCCUGUUGAGAUGAAUCGCUUACCCAGGGAGGGAGUUUCUAAAUAUGGAUCAAAUUGUUCAAAUUAGUCAAGGCGUUGGUGAGAAAUGGAAGAAGAAAUUAAAACAACUUUUCCCACAUAGUAUUACAACUACAAAGUUAACUUAUUUUAAUUUAAAUAGUUAGUUAACAAGCUAGCAAUAGUCUUAUGUCUAGCCUGUAACUAAUGGUUGUUACGUUGUGGGACAGAGCAAUAGUUAUUUAUACUUGUCCUUUGGUUGAGACUAACAUUCGUUUAGAAAAUAAUUGUUUACUUUGUGUAUAUUUGUUGUGUAAUUGUUUGGAUUUGCUAGUUGGCAAGCUGAGAUGUAUUUGCUCAAGUUGGCUAACUUAGCUAUUAGCUCAUGUUUUAGGAGAACUGUGGGAUUCCGUAUUUUACAUUAUAGCCAUUACUAUAUAUAUAUGAUUAAAUAUUAUCUGUUGUUGGCUGUGUGAGGUAUCUGCAUUUGUGCACUUGAGCAUCAUCAUGAGAUUAAACAACUGCUUGCUACAUCUACUUGCCUGUUUGUGUGUGUGACAAGAACUGAGUAACAUGGUGUGACCUGCAUGUUGCAAAACUGUAGAUAACAGCUCAGCAGAUGCUUUGUCCUUGUGUUUGUAUGUAACAAUAUUGAGCACAUGGUGUAACUUGCCCUAUCUUACACAGUUGUGGUUAAUCAGGUAUAGGGAGGGGUGGUCAUCACAAGGUUUAACUGAGAUGGAAAAAUACUGAACAACACAAUAGCAGGAACUGAGCAACUGUUAUAACUAGACUGCGAUACCAGAACAGAAAGGAUCUAUACAUCGACGGAAGGAGGACUCCAAGAAUGCGCCAAGAGGCGGGGACGCGCCUGCGAUAGGCUGAGCAAGUCUAAACCACGCUCAGCCUCUACUGUGAUAGGCCAACAGACGGGUUGGAACUAUGUCUAUCACAGAAUAAGAACAACGUACAUCCUGUCAGUUCCCUGUUCUGCCCUGCGUGGUAUUACAGUGAGCCCGUAUAUACGAAAGUUGCAUUUGCCAUUUAUUGCUUAGCUAAUAAAAAAUACAUAGUAUACAAUCGGUGACUCUUUGUCAUAUGUAUCCUGAUACCAGAUUCGAAUUUACGCAACUCUAACAGAACAGACUAGCUCCUUGCAGAAUCUUGACAAAAGAGAAUGUGCAGUGCCCAGACAAGGUGAGAGCAAACUGCUACAGAGAUAAAAAGGAAUCUCCAAAUGCUAUGUUGAACGAGCACCACGGAUGAAGGAGCGGGAGGAAAGCGGACAGCUUCAUUCUACCAAACAUACAAUGUUUGCUUCAUGAACAAUAGUUACAUCUGAAAUAAAUACAGAAUUAUUUUAGUUAAUUCUGUUUCUGUUUUUAUGCUGGAUGUGAGUAAUUUAGCAGGUCUGUAUUAUAAUGUAUUGUUUUGAAACGUUAAUUAAAUAUCUAUUCAGUCAAAACUCACUUAUUUUACGUUUGCUAAAAUAAUGUAUGUUUUGUACUGUUACUUUUUACAUUC